rnacentral:rRNA from 1 species
GGAUAAACGCUGGCGGCGUGCUUAACACAUGCAAGUCGAACGGAGUACUUCUCCCGAGACCGAGGAAGCUUGCUUCCAAAGAAUCAUUGAAGUACUAGUGGCGGACGGGUGAGUAACGCGUGGGUAACCUGCCUCACACAGGGGGAUAACAGUUGGAAACGACUGUUAAUACCGCAUAAGCGCACAGUAUCGCAUGGUACAGUGUGAAAAACUCCGGUGGUGUGAGAUGGACCCGCGUCUGAUUAGCUAGUUGGUGAGGUAACGGCCCACCAAGGCGACGAUCAGUAGCCGGCCUGAGAGGGUGUACGGCCACAUUGGGACUGAGACACGGCCCAAACUCCUACGGGAGGCAGCAGUGGGGAAUAUUGCACAAUGGGGGAAACCCUGAUGCAGCGAACCGCCGCGUGAGUGAUGAAGUAUCUCGGUAUGUAAAGCUCUAUCAGCAGGGAAGAUAAUGACGGUACCUGACUAAGAAGCACCGGCUAAAUACGUGCCAGCCGCCGC